rnacentral:rRNA from 1 species
UACGGGGGGGCAAGCGUUGUUCGGAAUUACUGGGCGUAAAGGGCUCGUAGGCGGCCAACUAAGUCGGAUGUGAAAUCCCCAGGCUUAACCUGGGAACUGCAUCCGAUACUGGAUGGCUUGAAUUCGGGAGAGGGAUGCAGAAUUCCAGGUGUAGCGGUGAAAUGCGUAGAUAUCUGGAGGAAUACCGGUGGCGAAGGCGGCAUCCUGGACCGACAUUGACGCUGAGGAGCGAAAGCUAGGGGAGCAAACGGGG